UAUUGAUGAUGAGAGCAUUGAGCAAGAAAUAGUUUGAACCGUUCCCAGGCUUCAUGAAUUGGAUCCUCUUCCAUUUUAGCAAAGGUACAAAUCUUAUUCCUCAAAUC